ensembl:lncRNA
AAUGUCAGCUACAGGCCCAGUUUAAUGUUCUGUGCUCACGCUUGGGCUGUUCUGUCCUGCCGGUCUCCUACGAUCUCUUCUCCAGAGGCAUUCUGACUCAGCUGGAGCUGGAGAAAAUCCAAGCAAUACUCAUCCCAACCCAGCAAGCACAGACUCUGCUGUCCAUCUGCCUGAAGAAAGGAGAAAAAGCAUGCACAAGCUUUUACACAGCGCUACAGAAUGAGGACGAGCAACUUGCUGAGGAACUUAAUAUAAAGAGCUUGGUGGAAGACCUUAAUAAAGAGCCUGAAGGCAGCAUUGUGCCGAUAGCAGUGGAGGAAACUAGAGCUCACUUGAGAGCAGCUUUACCUCUGUCAGGAGGCCUGCAGCAGGUCAUGACUCAGCUGGGCUUGACUGUGGGGGAUGAGAUUAGGUUUAAUGUCUGUGAGGUUGGUGUUGCGGUGGGUUUGCCGCGUCGGACCGUCAGAGAGUACCUUCUGGAAGGGGUUGGCAUUGAAGACUCGGCCCAGCUGGAGGCCCUAGUGUCGCUGUAUAUAGAGAAGACACAGGACGCUGACAGACUACUGAGCAGAGUGGCAGAACUCAGCCCUCGGUGGGUCCAGCUCUCAGAGAGGGGAUGUCUGCUGUUGAGGUUGCUGCAAAAAGCAGAGACUCUUCUCCGCAGCGGUAUCCACAGUCACCUGCACAGCUGGGACCACCUGCACGAUCAGGACAACUUACGCAGCUGGGACCACUUGUGUCCUGAUGACUGCACAGAUCAGCGCACCGUGUGGGCCAUCUUCAGCUUUCUGGUGUGGGACUGCAUGGCAGAGGUUCUGGAGGAGCCGGAGGCGAAGCCUAGCGGAGGCAUACUAGGUAUGAUUGAGCAACUGAGUGCCAGCGGCAGAGUGGAGGCCGCACUGCUGCAGGAAGUGGAGCAGUGCUGGACGGACGGGGACGCUGAGAGUCUGCUGCAGAGUGUGAGAGUCCUCGCUCAGGUGCUACGAGACCUGCAUCCCCUCCAGGAAGGCCUCCAGCUGUCCUCUUCAGUUGAGGGGUUGUUUUCCUGCAGGCCCAGCAGACUACACCGGGUCACUUCGUUCCAGGGUGUCUCUGUGCGGGUCAUCCGUAAAGCUCUGAGCAGCAUGGUUCCAUCCUCUGCGGACCAGGAUGCAACUCUUCUUGCUAGACAGUACUUGGAGGUGUGCGUUCGAAUCGCACGUCUCCUAGAUGUAGUGCAGCCCAAACGAACCACCGUUGACUUUUCUAAUGCAUCCAUUGCUACGGUCAUUCAGCAUGUGUGGUUUGUCUUGUCAAAUCCUGCUUUUAGCUCUGAAGCUUUUGACGCGGGAGUUCGCCAUCGCUUGCUUUCAGUGUUGGAGUUCAAUCCUGUGCAGCUGGGCUUGGGCUUUCUCAUGCAGCUCCACCAGGAGACCCUCUCCGAAUUCCAGAGCUACUUACAACUCGGCGAGCACCACAACUUCCAGUUUAUUCUCGAAUCGGUACGAAUACUUGGUCCUGCGAAGCUGUUUUCUGUCAGCAGGGUUCAUGGGCCUGUCGCCAUCGACAAUGGGGUGGAGGAAGUCCUUCGUUUUAUCACGUCAGAACCAACUUCAUUCCUUGUACGACUGCACUGCCUUUGCUACGAAGAAGGAAGGGGGCGCUUCAAGGUGUGCGUGCCACGUUGUGCAUGUAUGUAUUUGCUCAAGGCAGAAGGGCUGCGUGACAUGCAGUGGUGCGGUGGCAACGUUCUGGCUGAGGUAGGUGGGAAAGUGUGGGUCAGAGAGGGAGAAAGUAACGGCUGGGAUGAGCUACAGGCACUGGCUCAGAGACACUCUGCUCAGCUCAAGGAUGAAGGAUGCUGCUUUAAGGUCAAGACCUCUGGAUUGGAGUGCGAGGUCAAAUUUAUAUACAGGAGUGGAAGGCUAUGGGCUGUGCAACAUAGGGACUGUGAGGUAGUUUAA